AGGCUGGAUUUGAUCUCAGGUCUAUGCUAAGGACUGGAGAUGAAAGAAAAGAAAAAAGAAAAAGGGAAAAGAAAAGGAAAGGAAAUUAUAUAAGAAAGGAAAGGAGAGAAGGAAGAAAGGAAGAAAGGAAGAAAGGAAGGAAGAAGAAAGGAAGAAAGGAAGAAAGGAAGAAAGGAAGAAAGGAAGAAAGGAAGAAAGGAAGAAAGGAAGAAAGGAAGAAAGGAAGAAAGAAAGAAAGAAAGAAAGAAAGAAAGAAAGAAAGAAAGAAAGAAAGAAAGAAAGAAAGAAAGAAAGAAAGAAAGAAAGAAAGAAAGAAAGAAAGAAAGAAAGAAAGAAAGAAAGAAAGAAAGAAAGAAAGAAAGAAAGAAAGAAAGAAAGAAAGAAAGAAAGAAAGAAAGAAAGAAAGAAAGGAAGGAAGGAAGGAAGGAAGAAAGAAAGAAAGGAAGGAAGAAAGGAAGGAAGGAAGGAAGAAGGAAGGAAGGAAGGAAGGAAGGAAGAAGGAAGGAAGGAAGGAAGGAAGGAAGGAAGGAAGGAAGGAAGGAAGGAAGGAAGGAAGGAAGGAAGGAAGGAAGGAAGGAAGGAAGGAAGUUCUCAAAGAACUAAGUUUAAUGAGGGAGACAACAUGAACAGCAUUAAGAAGACUGGGUAAGUCUCUGUAAAAAGUGAGAUUUUUGCUGAGACUUAAGAGAAGAAAGUCAGGAGAUAGAGAUGAGCAGGGAGAGAAUUUCAGAUGCCAAAGAAAAUUCAGAGUCCAGAGACACAGCGUCUCAUCCCAGGAACAGUAAGGAGUCCAGUAUCAUCAGAUUAUAGAGGAUGCAGAGGUCAAGUAUAAGAAGAUUGGAAAGGUUUGGAAAUGUCAAACUAAGGAAUUUAUAUUUGAUCCUGGAAGUAAUAAGUAGCCCCUGGAGUUGAAUGAAUAGGAAAAUAACAUAUUCAAAAAGGAAAUACACCUUGAACUUGGAGUUAUAGAUGAAGGUUUCUUCUUGGGGCCAAAUUUGAUCUAGAGGCAAUGUCUUUCAAGACGAUUGUUGGAGCCAAGUCCUUUGCUUAGGGCAGAUCUACUAGAGACCUGGAGUCUUACUACCCUAACAACUGUUGGGUAGAAAACCACUGAGAGAAAAAGUGUACUUUCUCAAAUAUAGACACCCUUGCUCAAUUCAUCUUUUAAUCUCAAGUAGGUUAUAAAUCUGCUGUUGAUGGCAGAACAAUAUCUAUGAACAGUCAUUCCAUCACAUUCUCCCCAGAAUCUCCUCUUCUUCCUGGGGAAAAAGUUGGAUAACG
rnacentral:lncRNA from 1 species